UACGAGGGGGGCGAGCGUUGUUCGGAAUUAUUGGGCGUAAAGGGUGCGUAGGCGGUUCCGCAAGUCCUGUGUGAAAUCUUCGGGCUCAACUCGAAGUCUGCACGGGAAACUGCGGGGCUUGAGUGUGGGAGAGGUAAGUGGAAUUCCCGGUGUAGCGGUGAAAUGCGUAGAUAUCAGGAGGAACACCGGUGGUGUAGACGGCUAUCUGGACCGUAACUGACGCUGAGACACGAAAGCGUGGGUAGCAAACAGG
rnacentral:rRNA from 1 species